UGCGUAGGUGGUUUCUUAAGUCAGGAGUGAAUGGCUACGGCUCAACCGUAGUAAGCUCUUGAAACUGGGAAACUUGAGUGCAGGAGAGGAAAGUGGAAUUCCUAGUGUAGCGGUGAAAUGCGUAGAUAUUAGGAGGAACACCAGUAGCGAAGGCGGCUUUCUGGACUGUAACUGACACUGAGGCACGAAAGCGUGGGGAGCAAACA
rnacentral:rRNA from 1 species